CCUACGGGUGGCAGCAGUGGGGGAUAUUGCACAAUGGGGGAAACCCUGAUGCAGCGACGCCGCGUGUGGGAAGACGGUCCUCUGGAUUGUAAACCACUGUCCCCAGGGACGAAGAUGACGGUACCUGGGGAGGAAGCUCCGGCUAACUACGUGCCAGCCGCCGCGGUAAUACGUAGGGAGCGAGCGUUGUCCGGAAUUACUGGGUGUAAGGGGGGAGUAGGCGGGUCUGCAAGUUGGGUGUCAAAUCUACCGGCUCAACCGGUAGCCGCACUCAAAACUGCAGUUCUUGAGUGAAGUCGAGGCAGGCGGAAUUCCUAGUGUAGCGGUGAAAUGCGUAGAUAUUAGGAGGAACACCAGUGGCGAAGGCGGCCUGCUGGGCUUUUACUGACGCUGAGGCUCGAAAGUGUGGGGAGCAAACAGGAUUAGAUACCCUUGUAGUC
rnacentral:rRNA from 1 species